ACAGAUAAGUAAUGAUGAAAUCAUAUGUUCAUAAUAAGAAUACCCUCGAUAUUUCAUAUGGUUUUUACUACAUUUACAGGGUACUUGCAAUCUCUAUAACUACGCUUCUUUGCAACCGUGUUUUCAAAGGGGAAGGGAACAGUGUUUAAAUCAAAGUUGUGCUUUGAAGGCGCAGGCUUCUCUUUCGCCACGAGGAGGCUCUAUUGUAAAGACUUUCAAGCAAUUUCCACAUCUUCCUCACCUGCCAAGGAUCCCUCUUUAUCCAGAGCUUGCUGAAGAAUUCAAAGACCCUUCUCAGAACCUUGAAACUAAAAGUGGCUUAUGUGCAAAAUCCAAGGGGGAUUGCAUUGUCCUAGAUCCUUACAGAAACUAAUCCAAAGUAUGCUUCCCUACUCAGUUAUCACUUCUAUCCAUUCCACGAAAACCUUGUUACAAUUCUGCAUCACAGAGGAAGCAAAUAGGCAAAACAAGCACUUCUCCCUCUCCAGUAGCUUGCUGUUUAUCACAGGAUAUCAUCCCAAAGAAGUUCUCUGUCUUUCAAUGAAGACAGUACAGACCAUUUUGUGAUACACAAUCUGUAACUGCUUAAAAACUUCAGAUGACCCAGACUACCUUUGGUCACUAUUAGAAGACAAAAGUUUUGUGGGCUUUGGGAAAUUGUUUCUGAUGAGUCACGGGGGGGGCAUUUUGGAUCAAUCUGUACAAACCCAUCUGUUUUUAUCACCUCAGUGCAAUCCUGAAGCAUGGCCAGGAGCAGAUACAGAUGUCACUGGCCUGUUUAUUUUCUCAUAGGGCCAAGGCACUCAACCUAAUCUGAAAUAGACAGCUGUUCCUGCAAAUGGUGAAAAAAAACAAACUCUACAGGUAAACUGCUGAUCAGAGCUCCUGUGGAUCCUGCAUUACUCAGUAGCUAUUCUUUUGACCCCAUACACUUAAAUGUUCAAUGCACUAUUUUCUCUGCUUACCCUGGAAGGUCUUCAACAAAGGACAAAAAUAACCAGCUUGUGGUUCCAGUACAGGCAGGAAGAAUUUAAUUUUACCUGUUCACACAAAUACUCGACUAUUUCUCAUCCAACGUUAUGUAAAUAUAUCCCAAGCUUAAAGACAAGGUCCAAUUGCUAUAUGUAUUGAGCUUGCUAUUACAGAAAAAGAAUUUAACUUUAUUUUCAUGUACAGCUUCAGAAUAUAUAGAGCAUAGAAAAUGUUAUAUUAUAAAGGCAUAUCAGGUAGAAAGAAUAUCUUAAAACACAUUUGUCCUGUUAAAACUCUAGUUCAGACUGUUUUGGCAUUUGUUUUCUUCGUAUGUAGAAAUUCCCAUCUGCUGUGUUUUAUGUGGCAUUGUGCAUAUGCUGCUGUUUUGUACAUCAUGGUGUGCUUUUUACUUUUAGCUAAAGAGACAUGGAAUUAAUUAAAUUACUGUGGAAUUAA